CAGCCGUAAACUAUGCGCGUUAGGUGUACUGGUGACCACGAGUCACCGGGGUGCCGAAGGGAAACCGUGAAACGUGCCGCCUGGGAAGUACGGUCGCAAGGCUGAAACUUAAAGGGAAUUGGCGGGGGAGCACCACAACGGGUGGAGCCUGCGGUUUAAAUUGGACUCAACGCCGGAAAUCUCACCGGAUAGGACAGACAUAUGAUAGUCGGGCUGAAGACUCUACUUGAUGAUCUGAGAGGUGGUGCAUGGCGUC
rnacentral:rRNA from 1 species